rnacentral:rRNA from 1 species
UACGUAGGUGGCAAGCGUUGUCCGGAAUUAUUGGGUGUAAAGAAUGCGUAGGCGGCUUUUUAAGUGGGAUGUGAAAUCCCUGGGCUCAACCCAGGAACUGCAUUCCAAACUGGAAGGCUAGAGUGUGGGAGAGGAAAAUGGUAUUCCCAGUGUAGCGGUGAAAUGCGUAGAGAUUGGGAGGAACACCAGUAGCGAAGGCGAUUUUCUGGAACAUAACUGACGCUGAGGCAUGAAAGCGUGGGGAGCAAACAGG